rnacentral:rRNA from 1 species
AACGAACGCUGGCGGCAGGCCUAACACAUGCAAGUCGAGCGAGGACUUCGGUCUUAGCGGCGGACGGGGGAGUAACGCGUGGGAACGUGCCCUUUGCUCCGGAAUAGCCCUGGGGAACACGGCGUAAUACCGGAUGAGCUCCCGGGGGGGAAGAGUUAUCGGCGAAGGAUCGGCCUGCGUUGGAUUAGGUAGUUGGUGGGGUAAUGGCCCUUAAAGACGGCGAGGCAUAGCUGGUUUGGGAGGAUGGUCAGCACCACUGGGACUGGGACACGGCCCAGACUCUGAAGGGAGGCAGCAGGGGUGAAUCUGCGACACUGGGGGAAACCAUAAGCUAGCCAGGCCGCGUGAGAGAUGAAGGCCUUAGGGUUGUAAAGAUCUUUCAGCUGGGAAGAUAAGGACGGUACCAGCAGAAGAAGCCCCGGUAAAUUCCGG